CCUACGGGUGGCAGCAGUGGGGAAUAUUGCACAAUGGGGGAAACCCUGAUGCAGCGACGCCGCGUGAGUGAAGAAGUAAUUCGUUAUGUAAAGCUCUAUCAGCAGGGAAGAAAAUGACGGUACCUGAGUAAGAAGCCCCGGCUAACUACGUGCCAGCAGCCGCGGUAAUAAGUAGGGGGCAAGCGUUAUCCGGAUUUACUGGGUGUAAAGGGAGCGUAGACGGCAGUGCAAGUCUGGAGUGAAAGGCGGGGGCUCAACCCCCGGACUGCUCUGGAAACUGUAUGGCUGGAGUGCAGGAGAGGUAAGUGGAAUUCCUAGUGUAGCGGUGAAAUGCGUAGAUAUUAGGAGGAACACCAGUGGCGAAGGCGGCUUACUGGACUGUAACUGACGUUGAGGCUCGAAAGCGUGGGGAGCAAACAGGAUUAGAUACCCCUGUAGUC
rnacentral:rRNA from 1 species